GUGAAUGUUUACCUGUGACGCUUCUCUCUAUGGUUUUGCAACACUAGUUCGUUUCGAUAGCUAGAAUUGAAUUGUUUUUCCUACAGUGUUUUCCCUUUUGC